rnacentral:lncRNA from 1 species
UUUGACCAAAUAUUAUAUGUAGACUAAAAAGAAAAGGAAGGAGUAUGAACAGAGAAGCAGCAGUUUUACAGCCUAAAUGAAUGAUUACAAAGAAGAAAGGUGCUUCAAAACAAUGGUUAGCACUGGCGAAAAGUAGAUGCACUUAGCAGGUAAAGCCGACCUCGACGACCAUCGCUUUUUCACAUCUGUUCCUCCUGCUAUCCUUGCCGUCAAGUCGACCAUGACGACCACCACCUCGACGGCCACCACGUCGGCAAGCGUGUAGAGCACUGGCCCCCGAUCACGUCGAGCUCAAGGAGGCUCAAACUGACCCUGCAGCCCACAACACGGAGGAAGGAUGGAAAUAAAUUAGAUCCUUGUCCAUUGGAAAUUCACUUUGGCUUACAGAUAGCUGCUAGAGUAAAAUACUUCAAAGCACUCUUGUUUAGGAAGUGGAUUCAUUCUCAAAUAUAGAUAGACAAAGACACAUGAAGGUUUAUCUCACUGGACAAUUAUGUGACCAUGACGGCAAAAUGUAUCUUGAUAAAUUGGAUGGUGAGGCGCUAUGACAAUAUAAGAUUUCUCGGGUUUGGCAUUCAUCCAAGAAUAUUCAGAGUUCCAGUCAGGUCAGAGCUACAGUUAAACGCGCCGGGCUAGCUAAGUUCAGAAGCAUGGCAUCUUGGAUGGUUCAACUGGUCAAAAGAUAGAGAUUUGAAAUUAAGAUUCAUGAUCAAAUUAUUUUUCAUUUGUGUUGUAAUUUCAGCAUAAGAGGUGUGAAGUACUAUUCGACCCCAUUUUUCAGUAACCAUCACUGCAGUUCCAAAAUGUGAGACAUUUCAAAACUGCUACUUUUCUUAGCAGAAAGUCUGAAGUUAUGUGUGAGUUACCGAGUAGAGCAAGAUGUUGGAGGCCUUGUAGAUCACCG